UACAGAGGUCUCAAGCGUUGUUCGGAUUCAUUGGGCGUAAAGGGUGCGUAGGCGGCGCGGUAAGUCGGGUGUGAAAUCUCGGAGCUUAACUCCGAAACUGCAUUAGAUACUGCCGUGCUUGAGGACUGGAGAGGAGACUGGAAUUUACGGUGUAGCGGUGAAAUGCGUAGAUAUCGUAAGGAAGACCGGUGGCGAAGGCGGGUCUCUGGACAGUUCCUGACGCUGAGGCACGAAGGCCAGGGGAGCAAACGGG
rnacentral:rRNA from 1 species